GACAGAGCCGGUGGCCGAGUGCUUGUGAUAUAACUUCAUUAGCAUCGAACUGAUGCAAAACAAUGUUGUACAUCGAUUGCAUCAAGCGGCCUAUUGGUGCUGCGACUACAUUACUGUCAUUUGUUGCAGCUCUUUCAUGUCAACACAGCCCACAGAGACCAGACUUUUAGACCACUGUACGCCAGCAGGCCUGAAACGCAGAAUAAGACAUCGUUCCUAGAGAGAGAGACCAAACUGCUGAGCACACUCUUACAUAAUAACACAAAUUUGCCUGGUUUUCUGAUUUUCUACAGACUCCCUCGCUCCUUUCGUCUCCUGUCAGUGAGAUCAGCAUCUCAAAAAUAACAGCAGAAAUCGCUUGCUACUCAUUUCAUUGCUCACGAGUGGAACAAGAGCUGUGUCAACAAGAGACGUCCAUUUCAUCAGCAGGUCUCCAGUGAAAUGAUUCAUCCAGAGCAUCUCGAGUCGACACACAAAAACACAUUUUCAAGAGGAGAAGGUCAUCCUUGAUGCUGUUAAAAAGAAAGAGAUGAUUGACCAGAUGUUUGAUCUUCACCAGAUUAAUCUCUUCAUUUAAAAAACUUCUGCAGAUCAAAAACCAUACGAAUGGUUUAAAAACAAAUAACGGAAAUGAGGAUGAAGAAAGAAGAGAAGAAUGGACACCACAAAUAAACCUGGAUUAAUAACGAAUCAAAAAAACUGAAAUUUGCCACCUGAUGUGUUCUUAGAAAUGUUUUCCUUCAGCUUAGACCCUUUAUUAAUGAAUGAACCGCCAACUUACACAGCGGAUAAUCAUGUGUAUAAAAAAGAAAAUCAAACACGGAGAGUACAAAAAAAACUCUUUUGUACGAGGAACUACUUUCUUCCACCAUUCAUGCACAUCUGCAGCUGACCGUCAACAGCAAAAACUGUUGCCAGUUCACAAACGUCACUUUACAGCUAGUAUUUGAAUGAUUCUCUAGCGUAAUCUCUAAAGUGGUGACAAAACAGGGGACUUUGCUCACAUUUUAAGAUUAAAGGCUGAACGGCAUGAAAUGACAUCAG